GAUGAACGCUGGCGGCGUGCCUAACACAUGCAAGUCGAACGGAGCUGCUUUGAUGAAGUUUUCGGAUGGAUUUAAAGCAGCUUAGUGGCGGACGGGUGAGUAACGCGUGGGUAACCUGCCUCACACUGGGGGAUAACAGUUAGAAAUAGCUGCUAAUACCGCAUAAGCGCACGGUUCCGCAUGGAACAGUGUGAAAAACUCCGGUGGUGUGAGAUGGACCCGCGUCUGAUUAGCCAGUUGGCGGGGUAACGGCCCACCAAAGCGACGAUCAGUAGCCGGCCUGAGAGGGUGAACGGCCACAUUGGGACUGAGACACGGCCCAAACUCCUACGGGAGGCAGCAGUGGGGAAUAUUGCACAAUGGGGGAAACCCUGAUGCAGCGACGCCGCGUGAGUGAAGAAGUAUUUCGGUAUGUAAAGCUCUAUCAGCAGG
rnacentral:rRNA from 1 species